rnacentral:rRNA from 1 species
CCUAGUUGAUCAUGCCAAUAGUAAUAUGCUUGUCUCAAAGAUUAAGCCAUGCAUGUCAAAGUGUGAUCUAAUUCAUAUUGUGAAAUUGUAAAUGGCUCAUUAAAUCAGUUAUGGUUUGUUUGAUGGUAUCUACUACUUAGAUAACCAUAGUAAUUCUAUAGCUAAUAUUCACAACAAACACCAACUUCUGGAAGGGAUGCAUUAAUUAGAUAAAAGGUUGAUGUGGGCUUUCCCUGAUGCUUUGAUGAUUCAUGAUAACUCAACGGAUCACACAGCCUUUGUGCUGACAAUGCAUCAUUCAAAUUUCUACCUUAUCAACUUUUGAUGGUAGGAUAGUGGCCUAUUAUGGUGGUGAUAGAUGAUAGAGAAUUAGGGUUUGAUUCCAAAGAGAGGGCCUAAAAAAUGGCUACCACAUCCAAGAAAGAUAGCAAGUGCACAAAUUACCCAAUCCUAACAUGGGGAGGUAGUGACAAUGAAUAACAAUACUGAGCCUUAUGAGUCUACUAAUUGGAAUGAGUACAAUAUAAUUCCUUGAAUGAUAAUCCAUUAGAGGGCAAGUUUGGUGCCAAUAGCUACGAUAAUUCUAGAUCCAAUAGUGUAUAUUUAAAUGUUGCAAUUAAAAAGCUUAUAGUUGGAACAAGGGUUGGGUCGUCUAGUUCACCUCAUGGUGAGCACUAGUCUACUCAUCCCUACUGUCGAUGAUGCAUUCUUGGCCUUAACUUGCUGAGUUGUUCCUCUGGUGCUUUUACUUUGAACAAAUUAGAGUGCUCAAAGUAGGCCUACGCUUGUAUACAUUAGCAUAGGAUAACAUCAUAGGAUUUUGAUCCUAUUAUGUUGGCCUUCGAGAUUAAUGUAAUGAUUAAUAGGGAUAGUCAAAGGCAUUCAUAUUUCAUAGUCAAAGGUGACAUUCUUGGAUUUAUGAAAGACAAACAACUAUGAAAGCAUUUGCUAAAAAUGCUUUCAUUAAUCAAGAAUGAAAGUUUGGGGCUCGAAGAUGAUCAGAUACCAACUUAGUCUUAACCAUAAAAGAUGUCGACUAGGGAUCGAUGAAUGUUACAUUUUGGACUCCACCAACACCUUAAUAGAAAUCAAAGUCUUUAGGUUCCAAGUGGAGUAUGGUUCCAAGACUGAAACUUAAAGGAAUUGAUGAAAAAGCACCACUAUGAGUGGAGCCUGCAGCUUAAUUUGAACCAACAUGAGGAAACUUACCAGGUCUAAACAUAGUAAGGAUUAAUAGAUUUAGAGCUCUUUCUUGAUUUUAUGGGUGGUGACGCAUGGCUAUGCUUAGUUGGUGAGUGAAUUGUUUGGUUAAUUUCAUUAACGAAUGAGACCUCAGCCUACUAACUAGCUACGUAGAGGUUAUCCUUCAUGGCCAGCUUCUUAGAAGGACUAUGGCCACCUAAGCCAAGGAAGUUUGAGGCAAUAAUAGGUAUAUGAUGCCCUUAGAUGUUCUAGACCACACAUGUGCUACACUGAUGUAUUCAAUAAGUCUCUAGCCUUGGUUGAUAGGCCUGAGAAAUCUUUGACAUUUCAUUAUGCUAAGGAUAGAUCAUUGUAAUUAUUGGUCUUCUGUGAGGAAAUCCUAGUAAGCAUGAGUCAUCAGCUUAUGUUUACCAUGCCCCUACCCAUUGUACACACUACCCAUCACUCUUACUGAUUAAAUGGUGCAAUAAAGUAUUCAAAUUGUAAUUAUGUAGAUGAUUUAAUAAGUCCAUUGAACCUUAUCAUUUAAAGGAAAAAGAAGUCAUAAUAAAGUAUUCAUAGGUGAACCUACGAAAG